CCUACGGGAGGCAGCAGUGGGGAAUAUUGCACGAUGGACGCAAGCCUGAUGCAGCGAUGCCGCGUGUAUGAAGAAGGCCUUCGGGUUGUAAAGUACUUUCAGCGGGGAGGAAGGGAGUAAGGUUAAUAACCUCACUGCCUUCCGUUACCCGCAGAAGAAGCACCGGCUAACUCCGUGCCAGCAGCCGCGGUAAU
rnacentral:rRNA from 1 species